rnacentral:rRNA from 1 species
GGGGAAUAUUGGACAAUGGGCGCAAGCCUGAUCCAGCCAUGCCGCGUGGGUGAAGAAGGCCUUCGGGUUGUAAAGCCCUUUUGUUGGGAAAGAAAAGCAGCCGGCCAAUACCCGGUUGUUCUGACGGUACCCAAAGAAUAAGCACCGGCUAACUUCGUGCCAGCAGCCGCGGUAAUACGGAGGGUGCAAGCGUUAAUCGGAAUUACUGGGCGUAAAGCGCACGCAGGCGGUCUGUCAAGUCGGAUGUGAAAUCCCCGGGCUCAACCUGGGAACUGCAUUCGAAACUGGCAGGCUUGAGUCUCGUAGAGGGGGGUAGAAUUCCAGGUGUAGCGGUGAAAUGCGUAGAGAUCGGGAGGAACAUCAGUAGCGAAGGCGACUGCCUGGGCCAACACUGACACUGAGGCACGAAAGCGUGGGGAGCAAACA